UACGAAGGGGGCUAGCGUUGUUCGGAAUCACUGGGCGUAAAGCGCACGCAGGCGGAUCGUUAAGUCGGGGGUGAAAUCCCGAGGCUCAACCUCGGAACUGCCUUCGAUACUGGCGAUCUUCGAGUCCGGGAGAGGUGAGUGGAACUCCGAGUGUAGAGGUGAAAUUCGUAGAUAUUCGGAAGAACACCAGUGGCGAAGGCGGCUCACUGGCCCGGUACUGACGCUCAGGUGCGAAAGCGUGGGGAGCAAACAGG
rnacentral:rRNA from 1 species